rnacentral:rRNA from 1 species
UGCGCAGGCGGGCUUGUAAGUCAGUGGUGAAAUACUGCCGCUUAACGGUAGAACUGCCAUUAAUACUGCAAGUCUUGAAUAUGGUUGAGGUAGGCGGAAUGUGUCGUGUAGCGGUGAAAUGCAUAGAUAUGACACAGAACGCCAAUUGCGAAGGCAGCUUACUAAGCCAUUAUUGACGCUGAGGCACGAAAGCGUGGGGAGCGAACAGGAUUAGAUACCCUGGUAGUCC